rnacentral:rRNA from 1 species
CCUACGGGUGGCAGCAGUGGGGAAUAUUGGACAAUGGGCGAAAGCCUGAUCCAGUCAUGCCGCGUGUGUGAAGAAGGCCUUCGGGUUGUAAAGCACUUUCAGUUGGGAAGAAAGCCUUGGGGCUAAUACCCUCGAGGAAGGACAUCACCCACAGAAGAAGCACCGGCUAACUCCGUGCCAGCAGCCGCGGUAAUACGGAGGGUGCGAGCGUUAAUCGGAAUUACUGGGCGUAAAGCGCGCGUAGGCGGUCUGAUAAGCCGGUUGUGAAAGCCCCGGGCUCAACCUGGGAACGGCAUCCGGAACUGUCAGGCUAGAGUGCAGGAGAGGAAGGUAGAAUUCCCGGUGUAGCGGUGAAAUGCGUAGAGAUCGGGAGGAAUACCAGUGGCGAAGGCGGCCUUCUGGACUGACACUGACGCUGAGGUGCGAAAGCGUGGGUAGCAAACAGGAUUAGAUACCCGGGUAGUC